rnacentral:rRNA from 1 species
AGAUUGAACGCUGGCGGCAUGCCUAACACAUGCAAGUCGAACGGGAGUAGCAAUACUCUAGUGGCGGACGGGUGAGGAAUACGUAGGAAUUUGCCCUUAAGUGGGGGGAUAACCCGGGGAAACCCGGAUUAAUACCGCAUGACCUCGAAGAGCGAAAGUGGGGGAUCGCAAGACCUCACGCUUUUGGAGAAGCCUACGUCGGAUUAGCUAGUUGGUGAGGUAAUGGCUCACCAAGGCGACGAUCCGUAACUGGUCUGAGAGGAUGAUCAGUCACGACCGGAACUGAGACACGGUCCGGACUCCGUACGGGAGGCAGCAGGUGGGGAAUAGUUGGACAAGUGGGCGCAAGCCGUGACUCCAGACAAGUGCCGCGUGUGGUAGAA